rnacentral:rRNA from 1 species
CGGGGGGCAGCAGUAAGGAAUAUUGGACAAUGGACGCAAGUCUGAUCCAGCCAUGCCGCGUGAAGGAUUAAGGCCCUCUGGGUUGUAAACUUCUUUUAUAGGGGACGAAAAAAGGGCUUUCUAGCUCGACUGACGGUACCCUAUGAAUAAGCACCGGCUAACUCCGUGCCAGCAGCCGCGGUAAUACGGAGGGUGCAAGCGUUAUCCGGAUUCACUGGGUUUAAAGGGUGCGUAGGCGGGCAGUUAAGUCAGUGGUGAAAUCUUCGAGCUCAACUCGGAAACUGCCAUUGAUACUAUCUGUCUUGAAUAUUGUGGAGGUGAGCGGAAUAUGUCAUGUAGCGGUGAAAUGCUUAGAUAUGACAUAGAACACCAAUUGCGUAGGCAGCUCGCUACACAAAUAUUGACGCUGAGGCACGAAAGCGUGGGGAUCAAACAGGAUUAGAUACCCGAGU